ACGCCUUUCCGUGGUGAGCAAAUUCGCUGCCUAGAGUAGUGUGGUGCGAUUCAAGGUUUUGCAUGUUAGAGAUUGACAGGGAAGAAUGAAGCUUUGUGGUCCAUAUCAGUAAGGGGAGGUUGGUUUGUAUGCCAAUUUGUAAUCCGUUCUCGGCAUCAACACGUAAACUGUCACCAGAAGCUAUUGGUCCUCCAACUUCCUGGAGGCCAGUGGUGUCAGUGACACUAAAGAAUAAUACGAGCUGCUAGCGUGAAGAAGUAUAGUAAAGUUGGCUUAAGCCAACAUCGGUGGAAAAAACAAAAUGGCAACAAUAGAUGGCAGACCAACCCAAUAUGGUAUCAGUCUUAAGCAACUUCGUGAGCUCAUGGAGCUCCGAGGACGUGAAGGUGUCACUAAAGUCAAUAGCUAUGGUGGUGUGCAGGAGAUUUGUAAAAAAUUAUACACUUCACCUAGUGAAGGUCUCAGUGGAUCAGCAGCUGAUAUUCAACAUAGACGGGAUACAUUUGGUUCCAACCUAAUACCUCCAAAACCACCAAAAACAUUUCUACAAUUAGUAUGGGAAGCUCUUCAAGAUGUUACAUUAAUUAUCUUGGAAGUAGCAGCAUUGGUUUCAUUAGGUCUUAGCUUUUAUCACCCAGCAGAUGAUGAAGAAAAACCUUUAAUAGAUGAAGAUGAAGCAAAAUAUGGUUGGAUAGAAGGAGCUGCUAUAUUUAUUUCUGUGAUCUUGGUGGUAAUAGUAACAGCUUCCAAUGAUUACUCUAAGGAAAAACAAUUUAGGGGCCUCCAAAGUCGUAUAGAGGGGGAACAUAAAUUUUCUGUCAUUAGACAAGGAGAGGUCAAACAGAUUUCUGUAGCUGACAUUGUUGUUGGUGAUAUAUGUCAGAUAAAAUAUGGAGAUCUGCUGCCAGCAGAUGGUAUCCUUAUACAAAGCAACGAUCUCAAAGUGGAUGAGUCCAGUUUAACCGGAGAGUCAGACCAUGUUAAAAAAGGAGAAUCGUUCGAUCCCAUGGUACUCUCAGGUACGCAUGUGAUGGAGGGUUCUGGAAAAAUGUUAGUUACUGCAGUAGGCGUUAACUCGCAGGCUGGUAUUAUCUUUACUUUGUUGGGUGCUGCUGUUGAUCAACAAGAACAAGAAAUCAAGAAAAUGAAGAAAGAGGCUAAGAAGCAGCGGAAGAAGAAGUCAUUAACAGACGAAGAAAUAACUGGGAACAGCCAUGUGAGCGCAGCCAAGCCCGAACCUGGGGAGAACCAUCAUGCAGUUAGCCACGCAGCUGAAGGGAAGAAGGAGAAGAGUGUUUUACAAGCCAAGCUAACUAAACUCGCCAUACAAAUCGGUUACGCCGGCUCGACCAUAGCAGUGCUUACCGUUAUCAUUCUAGUCAUUCAGUUCUGCGUUACCACAUUUUACGUGCAGGGAAAAAGUUGGAAAAACACGUACGCUGGUGAUCUGGUGCGGCAUUUGAUCAUUGGUGUAACGGUACUUGUAGUUGCCGUUCCCGAAGGUCUUCCUCUAGCUGUUACCCUCUCCCUCGCUUAUUCCGUUAAGAAAAUGAUGAAAGACAACAACUUGGUGCGUCAUUUGGAUGCUUGUGAAACGAUGGGUAACGCGACGGCCAUCUGUUCGGACAAGACUGGUACCCUGACAACCAACCGAAUGACCGUUGUUCAAUCGUACAUAUGCGAAAAGAUGAGUAAAAUAACCCCGCAGUUUUCGGAUAUCCCGUCGCAUGUCGGAAACUUAAUGGUUCAAGCUAUUUCUAUUAAUUCGGCGUACACAUCCAGAAUAAUGCCUGCGCAGGAACCUACAGAUUUGCCGCUUCAAGUCGGCAAUAAAACCGAAUGUGCCUUACUUGGAUUUGUAAUAGCCCUGGGCAUGAACUAUCAGACGAUACGAGACGAUCAACCUGAGGAAACUUUCACGCGUGUGUACACGUUCAAUAGCGUUAGGAAGAGUAUGUCCACCGCCAUCCCGAGGAAAGGUGGUGGAUACAGGCUCUUUACCAAGGGCGCUUCCGAGAUCAUCAUGAAGAAAUGUGCCUUUAUAUAUGGUCGUGAAGGUCAUUUGGAAAAAUUUACCAAAGAGAUGCAAGAGCGUCUGGUAAAGAACGUGAUCGAGCCGAUGGCGUGUGAUGGUCUCCGUACUAUCUGCAUCGCGUAUCGCGAUUUCGUUCCUGGAAAAGCAGAGAUUAAUCAGGUUCAUAUCGACAACGAGCCGAAUUGGGAUGACGAGGAAAAUGUUGUGAACAAUCUCACGUGUUUGUGCAUUGUGGGUAUCGAGGACCCGGUACGGCCUGAGGUGCCGGAAGCGAUCAGGAAGUGUCAAAAAGCAGGCAUCACUGUGCGAAUGGUGACUGGAGACAAUAUAAAUACUGCGCGUUCCAUUGCUUUGAAAUGUGGAAUUUUGAAACCAAACGAAGAUUUCCUGAUCCUCGAAGGCAAAGAGUUCAAUAGGAGGAUUCGCGAUAGCAGUGGCGAAGUACAGCAACAUUUGUUGGACAAAGUGUGGCCGAGGUUGAGGGUGUUGGCUAGAUCGUCACCUACAGACAAGUAUACACUCGUAAAAGGCAUAAUCGAUAGCAAAGCGAGCGCGAGUCGCGAAGUUGUUGCUGUAACUGGUGAUGGAACGAACGACGGUCCUGCUUUGAAAAAGGCGGAUGUCGGUUUUGCCAUGGGUAUCGCUGGCACCGACGUCGCCAAGGAAGCUUCCGAUAUCAUCUUGACGGAUGAUAAUUUUUCGUCGAUCGUGAAGGCAGUUAUGUGGGGUAGAAACGUCUACGAUAGUAUAGCAAAGUUCUUGCAGUUUCAAUUGACCGUCAAUAUCGUCGCUGUUAUAGUUGCUUUUAUCGGGGCAUGUGCCGUGCAAGAUUCCCCUCUUAAAGCGGUGCAGAUGUUGUGGGUGAACUUAAUCAUGGACACAUUAGCAUCUCUUGCAUUGGCCACCGAAAUGCCUACGCCUGAUCUUCUUCUUCGUAAACCCUACGGUCGCACGAAACCGCUUAUUUCCAGGACAAUGAUGAAGAACAUUCUUGGCCAAGCUAUCUAUCAGUUGACUGUAAUUUUUAUGCUUCUUUUCGUUGGUGAUAAGAUGCUCGACAUCGAAACAGGCCGAGGAGUUGCGCAGGCUGGCGGCGGUCCAACGCAACACUUUACUAUUAUCUUUAAUACAUUCGUCAUGAUGACACUUUUCAACGAAUUUAAUGCUAGAAAAAUCCAUGGUCAGCGUAAUGUCUUCCAAGGAAUAUUCACCAAUCCCAUCUUUUACACUAUCUGGAUCAUGACAUGUCUAUCGCAGGUAGUUAUCAUACAAUAUGGUAAAAUGGCGUUCAGCACGAAAGCUCUCACAUUAGAACAAUGGAUGUGGUGCCUAUUCUUCGGAGUUGGUACUCUAUUGUGGGGCCAAGUAAUUACAACUAUUCCUACGCGCAAGAUUCCUAAAAUCCUUUCAUGGGGCCGCGGCCAGCCGGAUGAUAUCAGUGCGAUCAAUCUAGGAGAUGAGAAAUUCGACCCUGACUCGGAUAAAAAGCCGCGCGCAGGACAAAUUCUAUGGAUCCGUGGUCUAACACGACUACAGACACAGACGAGCAAAAGAACUCUGGUGCAGAAUGUAUCUGUGACAGGCAGAUCCCCCUCUCAGGAUUACUAUAUGGUAAUAGGUGGCGAGUUGCAGGAACGUUUGAUACCAGUACCCUACAGCAAGAGUUCGACAGACCAAGCUAAUCGUUGAUCAACAGAGCGCAUUGCGCAGCGUAGCGUGCAUGUUUAAAGUACCAGAGAGACGCAUUAUCUAAACCGGAUAUUCGACCAGGUUAAAGAGUCUGACUGUCAGCCUGAUUAGGGGACCACUCUCCACGACGCAUCGUAUCCGCGUAGUGAACGCAUUUCGGCAGGGCCUAGACGCACGCUACACGAGCGAGCACAGCAGCACUACAUUGGCGGAGGUACUGAGAAAACAGUCGUCCUUAAGCAAGCGGCUCUCGCAAACGAGCAGCAUUGAAUACGCCGAUAACAACCCAGACGAACUGACCAUACCCGAGAUAGACGUGGAAAGAUUAUCAAGUCACAGUCAUACCGAGACCGCUGUUUAGAAUGGGAAGAAUGGCGGGGUCAGCAGCGACGACGAUGUUUAUCAAGCUGUGUGUUACGUUCGAUCCUCUCUGACGAUAUGUAAACACGAAAAAGAAGUCAUCUUCAUCCUUGUUUAUCUCGUGGCCAGCGCGUUCGGAGGAAAGGACAAAAAAAAUAAGAACCAUAUAUAUUGAUUCUCCUGAACGAGAAUAUUAAAAAGGGGAUCGUAUUCCUAACCUAAAAAAGAAAGAAAAAAAAAUAUUAAUCAUGACGCGAGUUAGGUCCUCGUCAUUUUCUCUCUUUGUGUUUUGUUAUUGACAGUCGAUAGUAGAACGGACGAUUGAAUCGCAUAUCGGUCAUAGCGUGUUCGAUCAAAAGGAGGAGAGAAAAAAAAGAGAAAGGGAAGAAAGAUAGAAAUAAUGAUGAUGGCCUUCUGCUCACGAGACGUCGCCGCGGAUAUCUUAACUGAUCCGUGCGAAACACCAAUUAUAAGAUACCAAAGUAACGCACCACUGCCUUUCCUCUGUUGUUACUUACGUUUUCUUUUUUUUUUCUGCCCUUGUUUCCCCCGCUCUUUGCAUAUCUAUCUUUUUCCUCGCCAAAGACUCUUUUAUGUAUUAAUUUUUUUUUUUUUAAUUUUAAAUGAUAAUCUUGAAUUGCAACAGAGGUGGAGAGAGCAAGGGAAGAAUAAAAAUAAUUAAAAUUAUUAACGAGAAAAUUAUUUUCAUUCUUAUGACACGGGAUUUACUUAAAAUCAUAUUUUCAUUUAUUUUUUAAUUUAAAUCCCAUGUUGUAUAUUUUUCUUUUGUUUUUUUUUUUUUUUUUCUCCACUUUUGUCAAUAUCUCUCCACCGUUCUAUUCGUCACCGUUCAUUGACUUCUUUUCGCGCCACUUUUACUGCCAUGUUUCUCUUUCUAAUUUUACUUUUUAGUUUAUCUUUUUAGUCUAUUUCUACCUCGCACAAUACUUGCUACACUAAACUAUUUUUUCUUUUCCCUGCUUUCUUCUUUCUAUAUUCUUUCUUAUUUCUCUUUCUGACAUCUCAAUCUAUUAAUCUACUUAUCUAUCUAUAUAUCUACCUAUCUAUCUAUUUAACUAUUUAUCUGUCUAUCUUUGUUUCUCGUACUCGCUCUUCUCGCGUGACUUAAAAAUGAUCUAGUCACUAGUUUGUAUUGCUAAAUACUUCCGUGAAUAUACUCAGCACUGGGGGUGCCUUACAAAAAAACAAAGUCAAAAAAAAGAAAAAAAAAUUAAAAAGAAUUGCGCAUUGUUUUUUAGCCUUACUUCGCGUGUAAAAUGAGAUUUGAUGAAGGAUAAAGAAAAACAAGAGAAACGAGAUGAGAGAAAAAUUUGUCAUACUGAUUCUUCUUUGCUACCUUCGCAUAAUUAAAAAAAAAAAAAGGAAGAGGAUGGGGGGAUUAACGGAGAGAGUAUUUAACGACAGUACUAAAAAAAAAAA